CCUCUAACUGAUUGUGAGCUCAUUAGUUACAUUCUUGCAAGGCUUGGUUCAGAGUAUGAUCCACUUAUAACCUCCCUCACAGCUUGACUUGAACCCAUGAACCUCCAAGAGACAUAUGGGCACCUACUCAAUUAUAAGC